AAACUUUGCAAUGUGCGAAAGCACGACAAGGUUAAUCCGAGUGUUUCCUGCUAAAGGAAUCUUUUGUUAGUCAUAAAACCACUAUCGAAUAAGGGGUGGGCAAGUUCUGGUGUCAGCCGCCGCGGUAAAACCAGCACCUCAAGUGGUCAGGAGGAUUAUUGGGCCUAAAGCAUCCGUAGCCUGCUAUGUAAGUUUUCGGUUAAAUCCAUAUGCUCAACAUAUGGGCUGCCGGAAAUACUGCAUAGCUAGGGAGUGGGAGAGGUAGACGGUACUCUGUAGGAAGGGGUAAAAUCCUUUGAUCUAUAGAAGACCACCAGUGGCGAAGGCGGUCUACCAGAACACGUCCGACGGUGAGGGAUGAAAGCUGGGGGAGCAAACCGG
rnacentral:rRNA from 1 species